GACGAACGCUGGCGGCGUGCCUAAUACAUGCAAGUAGGACGCAGUUGCGAACGGGUGAGUAACGCGUAGGUAACUGCCUAUUAGAGGGGGAUAAAUAUUGGAAACGAUAGCUAAUACCGCAUACUAGUAGAUGGACCUGCGUUGUAUUAGCUAGUAGGUAGGGUAAUGGCCUACCUAGGCGACGAUACAUAGCCGACCUGAGAGGGUGAUCGGCCACACUGGAACUGAGACACGGCCCAGACUCCUACGGGAGGCAGCAGUAGGGAAUCGUCGGCAAUGGGCGAAACCUGAACGAGCCACGCCGCGGGAGUGAAGGAGGUUUUCGGGUCGGUAAGCUCUGUUGUUAAGGAAGCGGUACCUAACCAGAAAGGGACGGCUAACUCCGUGCCAGCAGCCGCGGUAAUAC
rnacentral:rRNA from 1 species